AUACUGACCUUGCGUAGGGGUUAACCGUGAUCAAGGAGGCGGUUCCCCCAGGAUGAGGCUAACCAUUGCACUGCGGUUAGUUGACUUCUGCGAAUAUGAAGGAUAAAGUUAUCUUUCCGUGCGCAAAAUUUUUGAGUUUCGGGAUAGCGGGUUCGCGUCCCGG